CCUUACCAUAUUAGCUCAACAAGUGAGAACACACUGGUGCCGUUUCUGUCAAAGCACAACAAGUCACCUACUGCGGCUAUAAACCCCCAAUACCUGUAAAUUGUUCAUUCUGUAUUGCAAUACAAUAAUUUUCUCUCCCAUAUUUUCUCUCUGUUUCUUCAAAUAAAGACCAUAAAAAUCAUGGAAUACAAUGAAAUUGCCCACUUCAGCCACCCACAACACACACUAAAAUUUGAGCACACGGAAUUUCCAUUCAAGUGUGAUGGGUGCAAGGAGAUAGGCAUAGGCUCACGCUACAGAUGUGCCAUAUGUGACUUCGACCUCCACACACACUGUGCACUCCCUUCCCCUGCUAUCUCUCAUCCUUUCUACCCAAAAUGUUCCUUCCAGUUCCUUCCACGCCCGCCCGGCAACACUCCACGCCUUUGCAACGCAUGCGAAAAGGAUGUCACGGGGUUCGUGUACCAUUGCAACUCGUGCGGGUUUGAUCUCCAUCCAUGUUGUGCUAAGCUUCCUAUGAUGAUUAAUGACAGGGAAGUCAAGCUCUAUUUGUAUAGGAAAGUGGAUGCACCUUGUCACAAGUGUGGAAGAAAAGGAAGAAGCUGGAGUUAUAGGUCUACAUGCAAGAAAUACAAUUUGCAUGUGGCUUGUGUGAGAGAGAUGGUAAUGGAAAGUUGGUAUGAUAUAUUUGUUGGAAGAGGAAAAGGUAGGAGAUUGGAAACAAGAAUUCCUAGCCUUAAAAAUACUCUUCAAACCCACCACCAUAAGAGGAAGGGUAAGGUGGAAAAGUGUUGUGAGAUAGCUGGAUUGGUUGUGCAGUUUGUUAUAUCAGCCGUGCUCGGUGAUCCAACCCCUUUGAUUGCUGGAGUUAUAGGGUCCUUGAUGUCACGAACAUGAUCAUUGAUUAGUGGCAUGUGUGGAUGUUUCAUGUACAAAGGCUUAAGCUGUGUAAUAUGAAAAGUAGUCAUCAAAUUAGAGCAAAAUCCAACUGAGAAGAACCACAGACUUGGUGGCACAACCCAAUUCUAUCUGAAGAUAAAUUAGGACAAAUAUAAAUGGAACAAGGCGUAAACAACAUGGGUUGGCACUUGGCAGAAUUUAAUUCUGUGCGUAGGUGUGCAAAUUUGCAAUGAAAUUCUGAUCUUGUUGAAGUUCAAGCAACGCUAAUUGUCAAUUGGCUGGUAUACGUAAAUUGCAAUUUGUAGGUAGAAUUAGAUGCUAAAGCAG